rnacentral:sRNA from 1 species
UAACUGAAGAGUUUGAUCAUGGCUCAGAUUGAACG